rnacentral:rRNA from 1 species
GAUGAACGCUGGCGACGUGCCUAAUACAUGCAAGUAGAACGCUGAAGCUUGGUGCUUGCACCGAGCGGAUGAGUUGCGAACGGGUGAGUAAAGCGUAGGUAACCUGCCUCUUAGCGGGGGAUAACUAUUGGAAACGAUAGCUAAUACCGCAUAAAAGUCGAUAUCGCAUGAUAUUGAUUUGAAAGGUGCAAUUGCAUCACUAAGAGAUGGACCUGCGUUGUAUUAGCUAGUUGGUGAGGUAACGGCUCACCAAGGCGACGAUACAUAGCCGACCUGAGAGGGUGAUCGGCCACACUGGGACUGAGACACGGCCCAGACUCCUACGGGAGGCAGCAGUAGGGAAUCUUCGGCAAUGGGGGCAACCCUGACCGAGCAACGCCGCGUGAGUGAAGAAGGUUUUCGGAUCGUAAAGCUCUGUUGUAAGAGAAGAACGAGUGUGAGAGUGGAAAGUUCACACUGUGACGGUAACUUACCAGAAGAGGACGGCUAACUACGU